AUGCUGACUGUUUUGGUUGCUCUUUUACCUGGUGUUGUGAUCGGAUACAUCUUCAUUGCACAGCGGCCAGAAGAAAUCUUUCAGAGAGUUGGAGACACUGUGAACAUCUCCUGCAACCAGAAAAACAGUGACCUUGCCUUUAUGUUCUGGUACCAGCAGCCUCCAAGAAAUGGUCUGAAGUUAAUAGUCAGUACUACUUCAUUGAGGGAGAAAUUUUAUGAGGACGGUUAUAGUGAGGCCAAGUUUGAGAUAAGCAGAAAGUAUACUUACACUGUGAUGACAAUCAAGAAUGUGACAUCCAAGGAUGUAGCCACGUAUUUCUGUGCCGCGAGUGAUCACACAGUACAGAGAGAAGGUUGA